UGUCCAGGGAUGGGAAUCGAACCCACAAUGUUCCGCUUACCGGGCAGAUGCCAUGUCCACCAUUCAUGAUUAAUCAAGAAAAGCUAACCACGUAC